rnacentral:rRNA from 1 species
CACGUAGGGCGCAAGCGUUGUCCGGAAUUAUUGGGCGUAAAGAGCUCGUAGGUGGUUUGUUACGUCUGCUGUGAAAUCCUAGGGCUUAACCCUGGCUGCAGUGGAUACGGGCAGACUAGAGGUAGGUAGGGGAGAAUGGAAUUCCUGGUGUAGCGGUGAAAUGCGCAGAUAUCAGGAGGAACACCGGUGGCGAAGGCGGUUCUCUGGGCCUUACCUGACACUGAGGAGCGAAAGCGUGGGGAGCGAACAGG